rnacentral:rRNA from 1 species
ACGAACGCUGGCGGCAUGCCUAACACCUGCCAGUCGCACGCGACCUUCGGGUCUAGUGGCGCACGGGUGCGUAACGCGUGGGAACCUGCCCUUAGGUUCGGAAUAACUCCCCGAAAGGGGUGCUAAUACCGGAUAAUGUCUUCGGACCAAAGAUUUAUCGCCUUUGGAUGGGCCCGCGUUGGAUUAGCUAGUUGGUAGGGUAAAAGCCUACCAAGGCGACGAUCCAUAGCUGGUCUGAGAGGAUGAUCAGCCACACUGGGACUGAGACACGGCCCAGACUCCUACGGGAGGCAGCAGUGGGGAAUAUUGGACAAUGGGCGAAAGCCUGAUCCAGCAAUGCCGCGUGAGUGAUGAAGGCCUUAGGGUUGUAAAGCUCUUUUACCCGGGAUGAUAAUGACAGUACCGGGAGAAUAAGCUCCGGCUAACUCCGUG